CCUACGGGAGGCUGCAGUGGGGAAUAUUGGACAAUGGGGGCAACCCUGAUCCAGCCAUGCCGCGUGUGUGAAGAAGGCCCUCGGGUUGUAAAGCACUUUCAGUGAGGAAGAACGCCUGGUGGUUAAUACCCAUCAGGAAAGACAUCACUCACAGAAGAAGCACCGGCUAACUCCGUGCCAGCAGCCGCGGUAAUACGGAGGGUGCGAGCGUUAAUCGGAAUUACUGGGCGUAAAGCGCGCGUAGGUGGCUUGAUAAGCCGGUUGUGAAAGCCCCGGGCUCAACCUGGGAACGGCAUCCGGAACUGUCAAGCUAGAGUGCAGGAGAGGAAGGUAGAAUUCCCGGUGUAGCGGUGAAAUGCGUAGAGAUCUGGAGGAAUACCAGUGGCGAAGGCGGCCUUCUGGACUGACACUGACACUGAGGUGCGAAAGCGUGGGUAGCAAACAGGAUUAGAUACCCUGGUAGUC
rnacentral:rRNA from 1 species